rnacentral:rRNA from 1 species
UACGUAGGUGGCGAGCGUUGUCCGGAUUUACUGGGCGUAAAGGGCGUGCAGGCGGUUUGUUAAGUGCAGGGUGAAAGCUCCCGGCUCAACUGGGAGAGGUCCUUGCAUACUGGCGAACUCGAGGGAGGCAGAGGAAAGUGGAAUUCCCGGUGUAGUGGUGAUAUGCGUAGAUAUCGGGAGGAACACCUGUGGCGAAGGCGGCUUUCUGGGCCUUACCUGGCGCUGAGACGCGAAAGCGUGGGGAGCGAACCGG